AUUGAACGCUGGCGGCAUGCCUUACACAUGCAAGUCGAACGGUAACAGGGACUUCGGUCCGCUGACGAGUGGCGAACGGGUGAGUAAUAUGUAGGAAUAUACCGAUAGGUGGGGGAUAACUACUCGAAAGAGUAGCUAAUACCGCAUAAUAUCUACGGAUUAAAGCAGGGGAUCGCAAGACCUUGUGCCAAUAGAAUAGCCUACAUCCGAUUAGCUAGUUGGAAGAGUAAAAGCCUACCAAGGAAACGAUCGGUAACUGGUCUGAGAGGAUGAUCAGUCACACUGGAACUGAGACACGGUCCAGACUCCUACGGGAGGCAGCAGUGGGGAAUUUUGGACAAUGGGCGAAAGCCUGAUCCAGCAAUGCCGCGUGGGUGAAGAAGGCCUUCGGGUUGUAAAGCCCUUUCGGAUAGAAAGAAAACUCUUACUCUAACAUAGUGAGAGAAUGACGGUACUAUCAUAAGAAGCACCGGCUAACUACGUGCCAGCAGCCGCAGUAACAC
rnacentral:rRNA from 1 species